rnacentral:rRNA from 1 species
GCCCACAUAAAAUAACCUUUAAAAUUGAUAUAUAAUACAACAUUUAAAUAUAAUAAAUACAAAAGUACAGAAAUGGAAACAACAAUAAAUAAUAGUAACUUUUAACAAAUGUACCUCGUGCAUUAUGGUUUUACAAGAAAUUAAUUAAAUAGACAAAUCCCGAAUUCUAAGUGAGAUGUUAAACUGCUGUUGAGAACCUAUUAAUAGCUGUGGAAAAAGCUUUAAAAGACAGUUUAACAGAGGCUACAUACCAUCCGCAUAAGAAUAUAGCUGGUUUUCAACAAACAUUAUACAUUAAAACAUAUAAUUAAAAUUAUAGUGUAAAACUAUUGAGGAUAAGCCCAAUAAUACAAACAAUAUCACCCAAAAUCUAUCCCUUCCCAUAGGCUUAAUAUCAGCCAACCAAACCACUUUACCGUAACAAGAACUGAAAUAAUUUAUAAUAUUUUAUGUUAAAAAAAGUUGAAAGGGUUGGCAACCUAUCUAACCAACCUCUACUAUGUAAAAAUAAGUAUUAAUAAAUAUAAAUAUCAAAUAACCAGAAAUAACAACAGGCUAUAAACAAUAGCUAACUAAGGAACUCGGCAAACCCCUAUUUCGACUGUUUAACAAAAACAUUGUCUCAUGUACCACAUAUGAGAUAAUACCUGCCCAGUGACACUUGUUCAACGGCCGCGGUAUCCUAACCGUGCAAAGGUAGCAUAAUCACUUGCCUAUUAAUUGUAGGCUAGAAUGAAAGGGUUAACGAAAUAAAGACUGUCUCAGUUAGCCAGCUAAAAAUUAAUAUCUAUCUGAAGAAGGGUAGAUACACUCGAAGGACAAGAAGACCCUAUAGAGCUUAAUUUUACUUAUAGAACCUCACUAUAAAAAUAUUCGGUUGGGGCGACCCCGGGUAAAAUAAUCACCCAAAUUAUAAAAGAUACAUUAAUCAAACAACUGACCCUUAAAAGAUCAUAAAAACAAGCUACCUUAGGGAUAACAGGCUAAUCCCACUCAAGAGUCCUUAUCAACAGUGGGGUUUGGCACCUCGAUGUUGGCUUAGGGUAUCUAUAUAGCGCAAAAGUUAUAUGAAGAUGGUUUGUUCAACCAGUAACAUCCUACAUGAGCUGAGUUCAGACCGGCGUAAGCCAGGUUAGCUUCUAUCCUCGACCUCACUACACCCUGUCCCUAGUACGAAAGGACCUGGACAGAAUAAUUAAUUAUAAAAAAGAAUACAUAUAAUAAAUAUUAAAUAACAUACACCUAUAAACUAUA